CCUACGGGGGGCUACAGUGGGGAAUAUUGGACAAUGGGCGAAAGCCUGAUCCAGCCAUGCCGCGUGUGUGAAGAAGGCCUUCGGGUUGUAAAGCACUUUCAGUGGGGAAGAAAGCCUUGGGGCUAAUACCCUCGAGGAAGGACAUCACCCACAGAAGAAGCACCGGCUAACUCCGUGCCAGCAGCCGCGGUAAUACGGAGGGUGCGAGCGUUAAUCGGAAUUACUGGGCGUAAAGCGCGCGUAGGCGGUCUGAUAAGCCGGUUGUGAAAGCCCCGGGCUCAACCUGGGAACGGCAUCCGGAACUGUCAGGCUAGAGUGCAGGAGAGGAAGGUAGAAUUCCCGGUGUAGCGGUGAAAUGCGUAGAGAUCGGGAGGAAUACCAGUGGCGAAGGCGGCCUUCUGGACUGACACUGACGCUGAGGUGCGAAAGCGUGGGUAGCAAACAGGAUUAGAUACCCCUGUAGUC
rnacentral:rRNA from 1 species